GGCAUAGUCUCACUCAGUCUUCCGACCGCCUUUCUGAGGGAGAGUCAUACACGACGAGUUUCCCUUUUUCCCGAAGUUUCUGUUUUAUUUGCAUAUUUUGGUGAAUAGAAUAGCAAUAUGAGAACGCUGGUUGUCAUUUUGCUUUUCGCUGGAUUGGUGCACUUUUCAACCAUGGCCAUGCCGUACCGAAGGAGUGAAUGUAAACCGUGCCUUCAAUGUGGACGUCACUUGCCAAGACACAGCGGCAUCUUCACUUGUCCAAAAUGUCAGAGGAACGCUGGCGGUAACAGCGAUGGUAGCGGCCGGGACGGUACGAAGGGCAUUGGAAGGUAGUGGGACCGUUGCAGGAGGCACCCCGGAUGUUGUUUGUGCAAUGCUUUUAUCGUCUUACAAAAGAAGAUGGUGAUAGUUAUGAUUCUGAUAUAAGAUUUUUUUUUUAAUAUCUGAUGAUGUUAUUGAUCUCCUGGACUAUAAAGAUUUGAGAGAAAGUU